rnacentral:rRNA from 1 species
CCUACGGGUGGCAGCAGUGGGGAAUAUUGGGCAAUGGAGGCAACUCUGACCCAGCAACGCCGCGUGAAUGAUGAAGGUCUUCGGAUUGUAAAGUUCUGUGAUGGGGGAUGAACACAAUGACGGUACCCCAAUAGCAAGCCACGGCUAACUACGUGCCAGCAGCCGCGGUAAUACGUAGGUGGCAAGCGUUAUCCGGAUUUACUGGGUGUAAAGGGAGCGUAGACGGCAAGGCAAGCCAGAAGUGAAAGGGCAGGGCUCAACCCUGUACAUGCUUUUGGAACUGUGGUGCUAGAGUGCAGGAGAGGUAAGUGGAAUUCCUAGUGUAGCGGUGAAAUGCGUAGAUAUUAGGAGGAACACCAGUGGCGAAGGCGGCUUACUGGACUGUAACUGACGUUGAGGCUCGAAAGCGUGGGGAGCAAACAGGAUUAGAUACCCCUGUAGUC